rnacentral:rRNA from 1 species
UACGGAGGAGGCAAGCGUUAUCCGGAAUUAUUGGGCGUAAAGCGUCCGCAGGUGGCACCUCAAGUCUGCUGUCGAAGACCGGGGCUUAACCCCAGAAAGGCAGUGGAAACUGAAGUGCUAGAGUGCAGUAGGGGUAGAGGGAAUUCCCGGUGUAGCGGUGAAAUGCGUAGAGAUCGGGAAGAACAUCGGUGGCGAAAGCGCUCUGCUGGACUGCAACUGACACUCAGGGACGAAAGCUAGGGGAGCGAAUGGG